UACGAGGGGGGCUAGCGUUGCUCGGAAUCACUGGGCGUAAAGGGCGCGUAGGCGGAUCUUUAAGUCGGGGGUGAAAGCCUGAGGCUCAACCUCAGAAUUGCCUUCGAUACUGGGGAUCUUGAGUCCGGGAGAGGUGAGUGGAACUGCGAGUGUAGAGGUGAAAUUCGUAGAUAUUCGCAAGAACACCAGUGGCGAAGGCGGCUCACUGGCCCGGUACUGACGCUGAGGUGCGAAAGCGUGGGGAGCAAACAGG
rnacentral:rRNA from 1 species